rnacentral:rRNA from 1 species
GACAGAGGCCCCGAGCGUUUAGGCGGAAUCACUGGGCUUAAAGCGUGUGUAGGCGGGCCCGUAAGUGUCUUGUGAAAUCCCACGGCUCAACCGUGGAACUGCUGGGCAUACUGCGGGUCUUGGGCCAACUAGGGGGCAGCCGGAACAAGCGGUGGAGCGGUGAAAUGCGUAGAUAUCGCUUGGAACGCCGAAGGUGAGAACAGGCUGCUGGGGUUGCGCCGACGCUGAGACACGAAAGCCAGGGGAGCAAACGGG